rnacentral:rRNA from 1 species
GACGAACGCUGGCGGCGUGCUUAACACAUGCAAGUCGUACGGUAAGGCCCUUUCGGGGGUACACGAGUGGCGAACGGGUGAGUAACACGUGAGUAACCUGCCCACAACUUUGGGAUAACGCUAGGAAACUGGUGCUAAUACUGGAUAUGUGCUCCUGCUGCAUGGUGGGGGUUGGAAAGCUCCGGCGGUUGUGGAUGGACUCGCGGCCUAUCAGCUUGUUGGUGGGGUAGUGGGCUACCAAGGCGGCGACGGGUAGCCGGCCUGAGAGGGUGACCGGCCACAUUGGGACUGAGAUACGGCCCAGACUCCUACGGGAGGCAGCAGUGGGGAAUAUUGCACAAUGGGCGCAAGCCUGAUGCAGCAACGCCGCGUGCGGGAUGACGGCCUUCGGGUUGUAAACCGCUUUCAGCAGGGACGAAGCUUUUUGUGACGGUACCUGCAGAAGAAGCACCGGCUAACUACGUG